rnacentral:lncRNA from 1 species
GAGAGCUCUUACGUAAAUUGGUCUGCUAUUUCCCAAAUAAGAGAGAAUGCGAGUUUUCAUUGAGAGGCUGAAACAGCUGAACUGAUACUUUUAAAUUUGCUCAGUUUUGUAUGUGUGUAUGCUGGUGGGUGGGGAUGAUACUUUGGAAAUGCUAACAUAUUUUCUUUCUUAUAUUUCCUCUUAUACCUGUCUCUUCUACCACAUUUGACAAACUAAACUAGUCUGUGUUCACUGGACUAGAUGAAGAAAAUUCCUACACAGAAAAGAGAAAAGGGAGUUGCUUUCCUGGUUUUUGAGUUUCAAAAGCAGAGACUCUGAGAAGAUUCCCAGAAUGCUCAACAAAGAGUGCUUAAGAAUUCUCUCACUAGGGAUAGGAGCUAGAGAAGCAGCACCAAUGAGUCCGUAAGGAAGAAGCUGUGUGUGCCCUGCUUUCUGGACCACUGGAAAACUCAGAUGGACUUGUUGAAUCUGAAAACAGAGGGUCUCUGAGUCCUCUCCUAGCUAGAGCCCUCGUUAAGUGAUAGACACUAGAAGAAGAGUGACUGUGUGAUGCCUAGGCAGACUGGACUUCAGAAAUGCAGGAUUCCCCUCAGUUCUAAUGUGGCAUGGGAGUUGCACAGUGUUUCCUGGGUGUCCAGGAGUGGCCUAGAAACAGCAGUAAAAGAGAGCUACUCAAAGUCUGGUGGAAUAGAAGAAAAGACAUGGCAGCUACUAGAAUGAAUAUAUCUGUGGGUAACAGUAUGGAAAAAUGACAGUGGGUAUCAGCAUGGUAAAGUGAAAGGUUACUCUGAGGUCUUGGUGCCACCCUACGCCUUUAUACUGUGUAAAGCCCAGACCUUAUAUAUAAUAGACCCACCUUAGAAAAGGGGCUGAAUCCCACACUGCCAAUCUGGUGAAGAGCAGCUCAGUUCAGUUACAGGGGAAUAAAAAAGAGAUUGUUCCUGCAGGUCUGAGUAUGAAGAUAGAGAUUAGGACCUGCUGCUGAUUCAUUCAUUUAUUCACUCAUUUGACAAUAAUUUAUUGAGUGCCUGUGAAGUGGCUGGCACUGCUUAGGCAUUUAGGAAACUGCGAUAAAUGAGACACAAAAUUUCUGCCCUGGUGUAGCUUAUGUACUAGAUAGGGAGACAGAAAAUGUGUAGAAAACACAAAUAUCAUCGUGCUAUUGAGUCAAGUAGUGAUAAGGACUAGACAGAAAAAUAAAGCAGGGUCAGGAAUGUUAGCCUACUAGAAAAUGAAUAUAAAGAUAUUAAUGAUGAAUCUGAAUAGAACCCCUUAUUCUCAUUACCGAUCUUGUUGUGUGUUGUAUUGAUCCUGUGUUACUGAUCAGAGCACACAAUCAUUGACCACUUUCAAGGUGAGGGAUGCAAGAAAUGCUGAUGAAGUAGGUAAAUUGUCUAUCAUGCUUUUUAAAGAUCAGGGCUAAAGCUGAAGCUCUGUACCAGAUUUUGACUAAAGCCCAGGCCUGGAGAUGAACUUCAGUGCAAGCCUCAUAUAUGAUCUCUUUUAACUCUUUCAUACACCCCACUAGAUAGGUAUCUGUGCUCAGUUUUAUAGAUGACAGCAUGGGUCCUUAGAGAAUGUGAUUAACUGGACCAAGGUUAUACCAGGAUUCAAACUUAGGAUUAUGAGGCUCCCACUCUGCAAUAGACUGGGUUAAGCACCCUAGUGGUCUUUGUGGGCUGCACCUCUGGACUCUCUUGUUUUGCAGACAGUUUAAAGAUUUCAAACAGAAUGAAGAGCCUGAGAAAUCUUCUGCAGCUGUAGAAGACCUUCUUUUGGUCAGGCCUUUGGCUAACCAGGGGCACCAUUUGCUACUGUCCACGAGUCCACGUAUACUCUUGCAUUGAGCCACUUCACUUUUGACACAGAUUGGAUGGCCUGGUUGGUAUCCCACUACAAAGCAAGGGCCUGCCACAACCAGAUGCAUGUUUCAACGACAUCGAAAGACUCACCUUGGACUCAUCGCUGACUUGUCAACCAGAACUCCAAUAUCUGAGUUUGUCAAGAUCUCAAAGGACGUGGAGUGCAUUUGUAUUAUCAUAUAAAGCACGUGAAAUUAUGGUUUUCUCUGUGAAUUUUUCUAAAAGCAUACUUUGAAUUCUAUUGUUGGUAUUUCCAGUGAGAAGCAUAGAGCACAUGGUAGGUGCUUAAUAAAUGUUUGAUGAAUACAUAAAUGAAUAAAUACCUGUAAAACAUUUAAUGGCACAGCAGCUGUUUCUUCUGUCACUUCUCAUGCGUCUCAGUGGAAUUCUUUUUUGCAUUUGAACACUAUUCCCACUGAGAAGUAAACAACCUCCUUUUUGCCUUUUCCCUUAGGAGAUUCCAAGGGUGUCAUAAGUUACAUGGUGCUUCUUAUGGCAUGCAAAUAACUCUUUAUCCAUGGUCCUUUCUGCUUCUUUAUUUUAGCAAAGAAAUCUGCUUUGUAUUAGAAUUCUCCUCUGAUUGGGAACCCACAUCAAAAAGACUUUAAUUCCUGAUAGUGAUUAUGAAAAAUUUCACUGAAAGAUUUACUUUAUGCUGGCUACUGUGCUAGGAAUUUUCCGUACAUUUUCUCAUUUAAUCCUUAGACUAAUCUCCAUUUUAAAAAGCAUUAUUUUUCAUUUUUAAAAUGUAGAUGCUGAGGCUUAGAAGUUGAGUAACUUGCCCAAGACCAUCUCACUAAUAAGUGGAAAAGUCAGAAUUCGAAAACAGAUUCAUCUGAAUUAAAAAGAAAGAAAGAAAGAAAGAAAGAAAGAAAGAAAGAAAGAAAGAAAGAAAAAAGAAAAAUCCACCCAAGGAGGAGCUAUGAAGUGCACUGUAUUUCAGCAGCUUUCUUUCUGACUGCAGUGUGGGGAUGGUUCUCUGGUCCCUGGUUUCCAGGCCCACUGGAAAGGCAGGUGUGAGCACAUGGCCAUAAUUCCUGUGCAAGAUGCUGUCAUUUCAGCUGGGGUAUGUUGAUGUGAUGAUGAGGACAAAGAGAAGCAGGGAGACUGUGAACAUAUUUAGAAUAUAAAAUUUGAGGAAUUUUGGGAUAGAUUAGAUGGAGGACGUUAGGCAAGGGAAGACUCGCUGGCAACUUUCUAGUACCUGGUUGGUUGCCUGGGUAUAUCGGGGCAUCAUUCACUAAAUAGGAAAUUCUAGAAAGGGAACAGGAAUUGGCAAAAAGAUAAUGAGUUCAGUUAGGGGGAUAUACUUAAGAGUGUCUAAGUAGAACUUCUAGUAGACAUUUGUAUACAUGAGCCUGAAAUUCAGAGGGAAUGACUUAAAUCUUCUAUUUUUGUGCUGUAUGAUUAUUUGACUUAAAAUUCUUUUUAGUUAGUAAAAGUUUUUCACUUAAUAAUUAGAGGAAAUCAAGGGAGUGUCUAUUAGUGAAUCAGAGCCUCUUAGAGAAACCUGUUCCAUAUUAUCCUGUUAAAUGCUUGGGUGAGGUUUUCCUCUUUAUUGCAUUUUUCCAUUGCUAAAAUCAUUCUGCAUCAUUAACUUUAUUGUAUUGCAUGUUGCUUAUUGUCUGGAAACAAAUAGCUGAUUGUGUCACCUCUAGUUCUGUAAUGUCAAACUUACCUUGGUUGUGAGAUGAACGAUCCACCUCCAUCAAUUAUUGCCAAUUGUCUCUUUGAAAAUAUAUGCCAUAGUACCUAUUUUUCUUCUACAUCAUCUUCUAAUUUCAAAGAAUUAUAAUUUUUUCCUUUAAUUAAACAUUUGGCCCUUCAAUAUUGCCUUGUUUAUAAUCCUGGGCCCAAAUGAAAAUACCAUGAUUAAAUAAAUCUUAGGAGUCCCAGCUGAGAUUAUCUCAACAAGGAAACUGUAAAAUGCUCUAAGACAAAAAGAAAUAGAGGAUGGUAAUGAGAGAUAAAAAGCAUUAUCUCACUGAACAAAGGAAAGAAGACAUGAAAGCCAAAAUGGGCUGACUACAGAUCUUCUGACCUUAAGCUGAGUGUUUGGUGUGGCUUCCUUCAUGGAAUGGAUGGUUGCAAUGAAUUUUGGUCUCCCAGCAUUUGAGCAUUCUUCAUAUGUUUGUGAGUCCCCCACCCUCCAUUACAUUAUAAAGAGCUGGCUCCUACUAGAGAAGCUGAAAACAUCACAAUUGUUCGCCUAGACCCUGGGAGCUUAGGAGUGGGCACGUGACCCAGACCUUGGCAAUGAGGGAUAGCCACUCCAUGCUCAAAGCUGGAUGCUGAUAACAUGGAAAAGGAAGGACCGCAUGGACUCUGUUCUGGAGAGAAUGGCAGCAGCAACACUGAGUUUUCUGAGGCAGUAGAAAGUGGCUCUGGGGACCGAAUAUGUGCCUACUGCCCAUGAGUUGGAAGUACACAUUGUGGACUUUGUGUCCAGCUCUUGCGCAGUUGUGUCUUCAUCAGACCAGCUCUGCUGUAUGUGAUUUUGGACACUGCUUUUGUUUGCCAAGCUUCCAUACCUGGCCCUUCUAGAGCUUUUGUAAGAUACCCAAUACCCUUUUAUUAAAACUAUUCUCUGCUCACAUUAGCUAGAGAUGUUGUCUUUUGCUUGCAACUGAGUGAUUCAUCCUAAUUCCAUGUGAUACACUAAAUUUUAAGGAUCUCAAAUCUCUGUCCUCCUGUAGCUCCU